rnacentral:rRNA from 1 species
UGGGGAAUAUUGCACAAUGGGCGCAAGCCUGAUGCAGCAACGCCGCGUGAACGAUGAAGGUCUUCGGAUCGUAAAGUUCUGUUGCAGGGGAAGAUAAUGACGGUACCCUGUGAGGAAGCCCCGGCUAACUACGUGCCAGCAGCCGCGGUAAUACGUAGGGGGCUAGCGUUAUCCGGAUUUACUGGGCGUAAAGGGUGCGUAGGUGGUAUUUCAAGUCGGUGGUUAAAGGCUACGGCUCAACCGUAGUUAGCCUCCGAAACUGGAAGACUUGAGUGCAGGAGAGGAAAGUGGAAUUCCCAGUGUAGCGGUGAAAUGCGUAGAUAUUGGGAGGAACACCAGUAGCGAAGGCGGCUUUCUGGACUGCAACUGACACUGAGGCACGAAAGCGUGGGUAGCAAACAGG